AUGCUCAUAGGUACAAAAAAAAACAACAACACCUGCAUACUUAGGUUUGUUUGGUACACUUAUAUUUAUUCCAUCUAUCUUACACACACAAACAACUUAAUAGAAAAACACUAUUUGUGCCUUCUCAGACCAGUGUUCUUCGAUGAAGGCAGCAUAAAAAUUAUCCUCCCACAUACACUGCAUAAGUUGUGUCGGUGGCAUAUCAUGAAGAAGUACAAAGACCACCUCGCCUUGAUGUAUAAGGCGCACGAGAAACUCAAGGAUGACCUCAAUUCGGUGCUGGACCACCCACUAAUGCCGUCAGAAUUUGAACGAGCAUGGAAGGACCUCAUUCAGAGAUACAACUUGCAAAACAACGAAGUGAUGAAUUCGCUGUGGGAUGACAGGCACGAGUGGAUCUAGGCUUACUACAAGGAAAUUUUCUGUGGUCGGAUGACUUCCACAUAGAGAAGCGAGAGCAUGAACUGCAUACUGAAGAAAAACUUUGUCAAAGAGAAGCAUGAUCUCCAUCUGUUUGCUCAGCACGUGGGCAAGUGCAUUUAGACCAGGAAGGCAGUCGAGCCCACAGAGCCGAUACCAGAUGAGUCAGAGGUAAAGACAACAACCCAAUUUGGGUUCGAAGUUCAGCUAUCAAAAGUGUAUACAAGGGCAGUGUUUGUAGAUUUCAAAGAAACACUCUACCAUAGCACUGCAUUCAGAGUAGAACGGUGCCGUGAGAAGCCAACAGAGUAUCACGUACACCACUACAACAGAUCGGAUGCAUUUGACUGGGCAAGGCAUAAUUUCCAUGUUGUCGCCGAUAAAAAGAAAGGUGUCUACGAAUGUGAAUGCAAACUCUGGACACACACAAGGCUCUUUUGCGUCCAUGUGUUAUGCAUGCUUUCUCAUUUGAGAGUACUCCAGAUUCCUGAGGUGUACAUCAUGAAAAGAUACACCCGUAACGCAAGAUCAAGUGCAACGUUUUACAGGAGAUACUACGAACAAACAUCACCAGAUGGAAGCUCGCUUUUUUUCCAUAGAAAAUUGCUAACAGAAACAGCAAUGGACCUUGCAAACAGAGCGACAAGGUCCGACGCUGGGUGCCCAGAGCGUUGUCUGGUAUGA
rnacentral:rRNA from 1 species